CCGCCAUUUGCUAAAUUGAGCGACAAAAAAAACAGUCAACAAGGCCCUGGCACUCGCGAUCGCCUGGACUGGGGCUCCCUCCCGCCCAAGAUGCGGUCACACCAUCCCGGGUCCAGCCCGACGUGCGCGGACCGCCGCCGCUGAGGCCCCGACCCAAACCAGUAAGAGCGAGCACUCACGUGUUUCGUCGGAAAAGAAGAACAAAGAUUCCUGGGAGGGAGAAUUUAUAUGGCGCCAAGUGCCGCGAGAACUAGACCGCAACAUCCCUAUCGCGAGUGUUCCCGGGGCCUCCAAGACAGCUUGUGAUUGGCUUCACGGGGCCCCGUCAGCUCUGCGUGCGCCUGCGCGUCUCCGGGCUCGCGGAGUCGCUAUAAAUGCUGCUCCGCCGCGCGCGCGCCUCCUCCGGCUGCAGGGCUCCCGGAUGCCCCAACUGAGGCCGACGCCGCCAGGAUCGUGGCAGUAGGGAGACUUCGCUGUCCUCUUUCUUAUUUAUCUCCUUAAAGUAUGUUGUCUCUGUCUUAAUUUUUUAAUAAAGCUGUUGGUCUAACU